UUUUUCAAAUUGUCAGAAUUGUUUUCCAUUUUCCAAAGUCUUCCCUCAAGAUCAUAACUGAGUUUUAGUUGAGUUAGAAAUGCUAAAGAGGGUAUUUAAAUUUUGUGGCCCCUGGUAACCAUCUAUUUGUGUAGCAGGUCUACUUGUAGAUGCAUCAGAAGUUGAUGCACCUAUAAGAUCCAUGUGCAAACCUAUGACUACAAAUUGUAGAAAAAAUAAAUUUAAAGUGUGUAUUUUAUAUAACCAAAAUACUGCUGAAAGGUCUAAACUUACAACAUACUACAUGACAGCUUUAUCCUUGCUUUGUCAAGAAGUAAGAUAUAUAUUUAAACAAUGUUUAAUGUUGAAAAAUCCUUAAUUGUCCUUUUCUUUCUUAUUUUAUGACUUCACUUGUUCUUGAUGUAUUAAAAAGUGGUUAUAUCUAAUACCAAAUUAAUGUCUCUUUCGUUUACCCGUACCACUCUUUAACACAGAAAUGAUAAUUCUGCCUUGAGUUGCUGUCUCAUAAGCAUAAACCCAAACCUCAAUUCUAAAGGACACAUGUCUGUAGUUUGUAAUAACUGUAAGUGUGAUGAGAAGUAUACUAAUAUAUACAAAGACUAAGUACUAAACUAUUAUUUAUUCAAGAAUCUAAAACUAUUAUUUAUUCAAGAAUCUAAAAGCAUAUGCAUUUAUUUACAAUAUGGCAACUGGGGACUUAUACAACUGCAAUUAAAAACCAAUAAUGUAUAAUGUUCUUGCAAUUAAAAACCAAUAAUGUAUAAUGUUCUAUCUCCAUAUGCAAAGGGAGAUAACUCUAGCUAAAUCUUGAAACUUGGAAUUGAGAUAAUUUUUCAUAGAUUGACUAAAAAUUUUGUAUCGAAAUAGCCAAAUACAGAUGCUUGCAGCUGUAGCCCCAAGUUGAAAUAAUGAGAAGGAUAAAAAUCAAUCCACUCCUUGCUGUCAGUACAAAUUUUUAAUUCUUCAAAGUAGAGGUCAUUUGAAUUUGAGCUUGUUUAAGUACAUCUGGAGAUGUAUGAAUAUAUUUGGUAUAACAAUCUGAGGACCAUCGUCCCAAAGUUUGAAUAAGAUGAUCUUCCAGUCGUGCUUUGUGUGCAGUAGUUGCAGCACCACUUCUGAAUGAAUGAC
rnacentral:lncRNA from 1 species